rnacentral:rRNA from 1 species
UAGAGUUUGAUCCUGGCUCAGGACGAACGCUGGCGGCGUGCUUAACACAUGCAAGUCGAGCGGAAAGGCCCUUCGGGGUACUCGAGCGGCGAACGGGUGAGUAACACGUGAGCAACCUGCCCCAGGCUUUGGGAUAACCCCGGGAAACCGGGGCUAAUACCGAAUAUGACCUCUGACCGCAUGGUUGGUGGUGGAAAGUUUUUCGGCUUGGGAUGGGCUCGCGGCCUAUCAGCUUGUUGGUGGGGUGAUGGCCUACCAAGGCGACGACGGGUAGCCGGCCUGAGAGGGCGACCGGCCACACUGGGACUGAGACACGGCCCAGACUCCUACGGGAGGCAGCAGUGGGGAAUAUUGCACAAUGGGCGGAAGCCUGAUGCAGCGACGCCGCGUGAGGGAUGACGGCCUUCGGGUUGUAAACCUCUUUCAGCAGGGACGAAGCGUAAGUGACGGUACCUGCAGAAGAAGCGCCGGCCAACUACGUGCCAGCAGCCGCGGUAAGACGUAGGGCGCGAGCGUUGUCCGGAUUUAUUGGGCGUAAAGAGCUCGUAGGCGGCUUGUCGCGUCGACCGUGAAAACUUGGGGCUCAACCCCAAGCCUGCGGUCGAUACGGGCAGGCUAGAGUUCGGUAGGGGAGACUGGAAUUCCUGGUGUAGCGGUGAAAUGCGCAGAUAUCAGGAGGAAACGG